rnacentral:rRNA from 1 species
CAUGCAAGUCGAGGGCACCCAGCAAUGGGUGACCGGCGAACGGGUGCGUAACACGUGAGCGACCUUCCGUCUUCUGGGGGAUAGCCGGCCCAACGGCCGGGUAAUACCGCAUACGCUGUCUGCGAGGCAUCUCGUGGAUAGGAAACUUCCGGGGGAGGACGAGGGGCUCGCGGCCUAUCAGCUCGUUGGGGGGGUAACGGCCUCCCAAGGCGACGACGGGUAGCUGGUCUGAGAGGAUGGCCAGCCACAUUGGGACUGAGAGACGGCCCAGACUCCUACGGGAGGCAGCAGUGGGGAAUCUUGCGCAAUGGCCGAAAGGCUGACGCAGCGACGCCGCGUGUGGGAGGAAGCUCUUCGGGGUGUAAACCACUGUUGCCCGGGACGAACAGCCCUUUUCGAGGGGCCUGACGGUACCGGGUGAGGAAGCACCGGCUAACUCUGUGCCAGCAGCCGCGGUAAUACAGAGGGUGCGAGCGUUGUCCGGAAUCACUGGGCGUAAAGGGCGCGUAGGUGGUGGCUUAAGCGUGCGGUGAAAGCUCGGAGCUCAACUCCGAGUCGGCCGUGCGAACUGGGCUCACUGGAGCAUAGUAGAGGCAGGUGGAAUUCCGGGUGUAGCGGUGGAAUGCGUAGAGAUCCGGAAGAACACCGGUGGCGAAGGCGGCCUGCUGGGCUAUGGCUGACACUGAGGCGCGACAGCGUGGGGAGCAAACAGGAUUAGAUACCCUGGUAGUCCACGCCGUAAACGAUGGGCACUAGGUGCUUGGGGGAGCGACCCCCUGGGUGCCGGCGCUAACGCAUGAAGUGCCCCGCCUGGGGAGUACGGCCGCAAGGCUGAAACUCAAAGGAAUUGACGGGGGCCCGCACAAGCGGUGGAGCAUGUGGUUUAAUUCGACGCAACGCGAAGAACCUUACCUAGGCUUGACAUGCAGG